rnacentral:tRNA from 1 species
GCCUUUGUAGCUCAGUCGGUAGAGCAAAGGACUGAAAAUCCUUGUGUCGGCGGUUCGAUUCCGUCCGAAGGCACCA